rnacentral:rRNA from 1 species
GACCUCGGAUCAGGUAGGGAUACCCGCUGAACUUAACAUUCAU